AUUGAACGCUGGCGGCAUGCCUUACACAUGCAAGUCGAACGGUAACAGGUUAAGCUGACGAGUGGCGAACGGGUGAGUAAUGUAUCGGAACGUGCCCAGUCGCGGGGGAUAACUGCUCGAAAGAGCAGCUAAUACCGCAUACGACCUGGGGGUGAAAGCGGGGGAUCGCAAGACCUCGCGCGAUUGGAGCGGCCGAUAUCAGAGUAGGGAGUGGGUGGGGUAAAGGCCUACCAAGCCUACGAUCUGUAGCUGGUCUGAGAGGACGACCAGCCACACGGGGACUGAGACUCGGCCCAGACUCCUACGGGAGGCAGCAGUGGGGAAUUUUGGACAAUGGACGCAAGUCUGAUCCAGCCAUGCCGCGUGCGGGAAGAAGGCCUUCGGGUUGUAAACCGCUUUUGUCAGGGAAGAAAAGGUUCUGGUUAAUACCUGGGACUCAUGACGGUACCUGAAGAAUAAGCACCGGCUAACUACGUGCCAGCCGCCGCCGUAAAAC
rnacentral:rRNA from 1 species